UACACAAAUAUGAAGGCGGGCUGGAACCUCUCGGGGUUACAGCCUUGCUGAAUUAUUCACCCUUGUCUUUUGCGUACUUCUUGUUUCCUUGGUGGGUUCGCCCACCACUAGGACAAACAUAAACCUUUUGUAAUUGCAAUCAGCGUCAGUAACAAAUUAAUAAUUACAACUUUCAACAACGGAUCUCUUGGUUCUGGCAUCGAUGAAGAACGCAGCGAAAUGCGAUAAGUAGUGUGAAUUGCAGAAUUCAGUGAAUCAUCGAAUCUUUGAACGCACAUUGCGCCCUUUGGUAUUCCAAAGGGCAUGCCUGUUCGAGCGUCAUUUGUACCCUCAAGCUUUGCUUGGUGUUGGGCGUCUUGUCUCUAGCUUUGCUGGAGACUCGCCUUAAAGUAAUUGGCAGCCGGCCUACUGGUUUCGGAGCGCAGCACAAGUCGCACUCUCUAUCAGCAAAGGUCUAGCAUCCAUUAAGCCUUUUUUUCAACUUUUGACCUCGGAUCAGGUAGGGAUACCCGCUGAACUUAAGCAUAUCAAUAAGCGGAGGAAAAGAAACCAACAGGGAUUGCCCUAGUAACGGCGAGUGAAGCGGCAACAGCUCAAAUUUGAAAUCUGGCUCUUUUAGAGUCCGAGUUGUAAUUUUGCAGAGGGCGCUUUGGCUUUUGGCAGCGGUCCAAGUUCCUUGGAACAGGACGUCACAGAGGGUGAGAAUCCCGUACGUGGUCGCUGGGCUAUUGCCGUGUAAGCCCC
rnacentral:rRNA from 1 species